GUAAUAAGUAGCAGUCAAGCCUGGAACCUUAAUCUGAUUCUGAAUCUGGAACACUUGAUUCCACAUUCAGUAAAGCAUUUUGUAAUCCUUAAAGCUCUAUGGGAUUGAGAGUCCUUUUUAUUGGCAUUAUUUUUCCCAUCAGAUCUUUUUGUAAAAACUAUUAAAUUUAAAAAGCUCAGCCUCCUGGCUUUGGUAAAUUGCUCUUCCUCCUGUCCGGCUUCAGAGAGGACUGCCCCCCCCUUCUCCCCUCCACGGAGUGACCCCUUUCUUCCUGUACUCCCCACCCUACAGGUGGGUUCCUCCCCGUUUUCUUUUCCCCCAAUUUUUACAAGUGGGUUCCUCCCCGUUUUCUUUUCCCCCAAUUCUACAGGUUGUUCUUCUCGUACUUGGUCUCCCCCCCCCCAACUCAAAAGUGAUUCCUCCCACCCCGUUCCCCUCUUUCACAUCCUUAGCGAAGCUUCCUGAUUAUCCCCAGCCGCCACGGCUCGGCCGCCCCUCUCCCCGCCAGCCAGGGGUUCACGCCCCGUGCUCCCCGACUCCCCUCGGUUCUGGGGAGGGGGCUCCACAGCACGGGAGGGGCGGGGCCGUUCCUCGAUGGCACGAGGGGAGGGGGAGGGGGCGGGGCCGCAAAGAGUCCGUUGGGCGCCGGCCGAAGGAGAGGUGCGGUGAGGGACCGCUCCGCAAGUAAGGGGCGUGGCUGGGGCUGAGAACCAUUUGGGGAUCACGGUGCUGGGGUGGGGUCCGCCCCGGUGAGUCCUCCCUGCUGCACAGCGUGUGGAGCUGGUCAGUUACUUGCGGAGGAGGUGUAACUGAUCAGCUGGGAGAGGGCGUGGCUGGUCAAUUACUUAGCGGAGAGAAGGGGUGCCGUUCUGCAGGAGCUGGGUCUGGCCGGCGGGAGAGGGCGUGGCUGGGCAUCUCCUUAGCGAAGAGAAGCUGUGACGGACCCGCGGGAGGGGGGUGUGAUUGUGACUGGUCAGUUACCUAGAGGGUGUGGGUGACCGACCACUUAACAAAAGGAGGGUGUGACUGCUCAGUCAGCAGAAAGAUGUGUCCGAGCGCUUAGCCGAGAGGGCGUGACCGCGGUGGGGAGCCUGUGCUCUGCCAGCUUUCCCUGCACGUUCAUGGUCUCCCUGGAUCCUGCCUGGCCGGCCGACAGGCAUGUCGGGAGAUGGGGAAGAGGAAGACGCCUUUGGUCCCAAGGAUGUCCUGCUCUAUUCCCCUGACGGCGGCCCCUUUGUGGAGGAGGCGGAGGGGGGCGGCUCUGGGAUGAGUUGGGCUUGGGAACCGAGCACAACCUCCUCUCAGUGGAGCCUGGAGCCCGAAGCCAACGGGAGCAAGCCCCUGGGGAUGGACUGUCAGGAGGACAGCGACCCGGUGGAGGAAGCCCUUCAAGAUUCACAGACGGUGGGCGAGGGUGCAGAUCCUGAGACCUGUAUCCUGGGCCCGGUUGGAGGGGCUCAGGAGGAGGGUGAGGACUCGCUGCUGUUUCCGGAUCUUCACAUCCAGCCUUCUCUUGCGCCCGUGGAGAGGAAAGCACAGUUCUUAGAGAAGCUUCACGUGGCUUUACACGACAUCUUAGCCGAAAACUGGGGGAAGAAGCUUGGCCAUGUGGCCCAGAGCAUCGGACUCACAGGAAAGGGGGAGAAGUCGGUGGAGGCGGCCCCUAAGCCCCGGAAGAUCCCUGGAGAUGAGCUGCCCGAGGAGAGAUCUCCAGAACCCGACCAAGGACUCCCCAUCAACCAUGUGGAGAGCCCCCCUGAGAUGAGAUGGCUCACCCCAGUGGCUUUUCCCGAGUGUCUCUCUGAGGUGUGUGAACAGGGCAUCUUCUCUCGCCUGGCCCUGGAGCAGGAGACCCCUGUGGACUGUACCCUGGACAAUUGUGAGGAGACAAAGGAAGGAGAACAGAUGAAAAGACAACAGCCCGACACUUCACCUUCUUCCCCUAGCUUGGCCCUGGUGAGGGCAAAUAAAAAAAGCAGGCUGUCGACCACCUCCAGAGAGGUGAGGAAGAGGAAAAACCUCCGGGAAGAAGAAUCCUGGAAGAGAAACGAAAGCGGCCGAGCAGGGGGGGCGGACCCCAAGACUCCAGCAAGCCCCUUUCCAAAGAGCAGUCAGGAGACUUGUGGACCAGUGGGAGACGUUGCUGGGACCUCCCCAACCGCUGAAAGAGAGCGUAAGCAAAUGGGAAAGACCCAGCCAUGGACCUGCUCGCAGAAAGCCUCUUCUCUGCAUGAUGCUCUCUUGCCCAACAGGGCUGAAAGUGGGGAGGCCCCUGGUCGCACUCCCAUCAAGGGUCAGAGAGGCACAGUGACUGCUAUGUUAGUUGUGGAGGCCCUGGGUCUUCCUGACGGGGCAGCCAUGUCCAGUGUAAUGUCAGCCUCUAAGACUUCCUGCAAAAGUCCGCACCCCUGCCCACCGGCUGUCCCCUUGGAUUCCCUGCCUUUGACGUCCUCCUCCAGAUUAUCAGAGGAAGUCUCUGGAGAAAAUCAAAAUCUUGGUUUUGCUAUGGUGCCCAAGGCCGUCACUGGCAAUGACGAUGCUUACCUUUCAGACAUUGUCAAGGAACUGGAGUCUGCUGCUGGCAAAGGUGUUGGGGUUGCCUCUGGUGCCAACAGGGGAGAGAUGCUGGGAUCUCCUGCUAGGCCCCAAGGGCUCUCCUCCACAAACAAGCCCUGUGGCCAGCCCGACCUGGAUUUCCCACUAGCCAACUCUUCUUCAAAGGGGCCUGUGGCUGGGGGAGCCAGUUUGGACCCUGAGAAGGCGUCUGAGUCAAGUAAGAGACCCUUGAAACAUCGUAGGAACAGGUCCAGAGCCGCAGAGAAGCCAAAGAGGGGAGUGCUGUCCUCUGCCCAGGAGUGGGGCAGGAACGGAGGAUCCAGAGCGGAUGAUGUGGGAGGUCAGGAACCAGGCCCAGUAAGCAAAAGCAGAGAGUUAGGGUCUGGGUCGUCAGUCAGACUCCUGGGGGCAGUCAGCCAAGCUUGGGAACCCAAACAGCCCCCACAGUUGGAAGAACUGGAGGACCUCUCGAUAGCCAGCUCAGAGACACCUUCCCAGGGAUCCCAGCUUUCCUCCGCUCGGGCCAGGGGUUCACACCAGGAAAAAGCGCCCGGCAACAGCAGCGCAUUUGAGAGCAGCUUCCACUUCUCCAGCAUCCCUGGGAAGUGACUCACCCAGGACCACCCAGCUGAGAAGUGCCCAAGCAGAGAUGGCCCUGAGGGCAGUGCGCUUCGCUGUGUCUCGCUGCAGUCACAGGAGGAUGCUGUCCCUCGAACUCCUGGCCACAUCGAUCCCUACGUGGCCCGAGGCAGGGCAGGGAUCUGGGCUUAAGGCGGCUUCAGGAGGCUUGUUCUUGGGAAAAGCCAGACUCUGUGGGGGGGGG
rnacentral:lncRNA from 1 species